UACGUAGGGUGCGAGCGUUGUCCGGAAUUACUGGGCGUAAAGGGCUCGUAGGUGGCCAACUAAGUCGGACGUGAAAUCCCUCAGCUUAACUGGGGAACUGCGUCCGAUACUGGAUGGCUCGAGUUUGGGAGAGGGAUGCGGAAUUCCUGGUGUAGCGGUGAAAUGCGCAGAUAUCAGGAGGAACACCGGUGGCGAAGGCGGGUCUCUGGGCAAUAACUGACGCUGAGGAGCGAAAGCGUGGGGAGCGAACAGG
rnacentral:rRNA from 1 species